CCUACGGGAGACAGCAGUCGAGAAUCAUUCACAAUGGGGGAAACCCUGAUGCUGCGACGCCGCGUGGGGGAAUGAAGGUCUUCGGAUUGUAAACCCCUGUCAUGUGGGAGCAAAUUAAAAAGAUAGUACCACAAGAGGAAGAGACGGCUAACCCGGGGCCAGCAGCUUCGGUAAUACAGGGGUCUUAAGCGUUGUUCGGAGGCACUGGGCGUAAAGGGUGCGUAGGCUGUUUCGUAAGGCGUGUGUGAAAGGCGCGGGCUCAACCCGCGGAAGGCACAUGAUACUGGGAGACUAGAGGAAUGGAGGGGGAAGCGGAAUUCGCGGUGUAGCAGUGAAAUGCGUAGAUAUCGAGAGGAACACUCGUUGCGAAGGCGGGUUCCUGGACAUUAACUGACGCUGAGGCACGAAGGCCAGGGGAGCGAAAGGGAUUAGAUACCCGGGUAGUC
rnacentral:rRNA from 1 species